AGGAUCAUUAUCGUACAAUGGGGGUACCGGGGCUGUCGCUGACUUUUAACGUCGUGCACGCCCCGAGUGCUCUCACAUACAAAAAUAUCCAUCUCACCCCUUUGUGCAUCACCGGCGUGGGUUUCCCCCCCUCUUCCUUCCUCGGAGGGGGGGGGCGGGUGCCCACGUUUUUUUUAACAUUAAACACCCAUUCGAACGUAAUGUARAAUGUUCUUUGUGCGAUCACGCACGAUCAAUACAACUUUCAACAACGGAUCUCUUGGCUCUCGCAUCGAUGAAAAACGCAGCGAAAUGCGAUACGUAAUGUGAAUUGCAGAAUUCAGUGAAUCAUCGAAUCUUUGAACGCACCUUGCGCCCCUUGGCAUUCCGAGGGGCACACCCGUUUGAGUGUCGUGAACAUCCUCAACCUGCUUGGUUUUUUAUCAAAACCAAGUAGGCUUGGAAUUUGGAGGUUUUCUGCUGGCCUUCUCCUCUGAAGCCAGCUCCUCUUAAAUGUAUCAGUGGGAUCCGCUUUGCUUGGAACCCUCGACGUUGAUAAGAUGUUUCUACGUCUUGGGUUUCGCUCGGGAAGGACCUGCUUCUAACCGUCCCCUCAGCAGG
rnacentral:rRNA from 1 species